AUUGAACGCUGGUGGCAGGCUUAACACAUGCAAGUCGAGCGGGGUGAUGGUGCUUGCACUAUCACUUAGCGGCGGACGGGUGAGUAAUGCUUAGGAAUCUGCCUAUUAGUGGGGGACGACAUCUCGAAAGGGGUGCUAAUACCGCAUACGUCCUACGGGAGAAAGCAGGGGAUCACUUGUGACCUUGCGCUAAUAGAUGAGCCUAAGUCGGAUUAGCUAGUUGGUGGGGUAAAGGCCUACCAAGGCGACGAUCUGUAGCGGGUCUGAGAGGAUGAUCCGCCACACUGGGACUGAGACACGGCCCAGACUCCUACGGGAGGCAGCAGUGGGGAAUAUUGGACAAUGGGGGGAACCCUGAUCCAGCCAUGCCGCGUGUGUGAAGAAGGCCUUACGGUUGUAAAGCACUUUAAGCGAGGAGGAGGCUCUUUUGGUUAAUACCCAAGAUGAGUGGACGUUACUCGCAGAAUAAGCACCGGCUAACUCUGUGCCAGCCGCCGCCGUAA
rnacentral:rRNA from 1 species